rnacentral:lncRNA from 1 species
GGCACGUCAUGGCACCAAAAACAGGCGCGAUGAGGGGGUCGCCCGACCCCCUUUCUAUGGCAAAAGGAAACGACACAAGUGUAGAAAGACUUCCCGAGGGACGUAGAAUCGAGUGGCAGGGCCAGGAACCUCCAGGUGGGGUCGGCCGACCCCUCCAUAGAGCCCUGGGCCCACCAGGAAGCUUCUAUACGACGAAACACAUCUUUCCUGCCCGGUUUGCUAACUCUUCCCCCUCUCAGUCUGUCCAAUUCUUUACCUUUGUGUCACAAUUAAAAUAAAAUUUGAUAGUUUAAACUUGUUUGCAAAAUAAAAAGUGAACUGGUUCAUGAUUUAAGAGAAAUUGUGACAUAAAGUAUAGUUCUUACAAUUGUUCAUCCUCAUGGGUAAAAAUCUAUAGGAACCAUAUUGACUAAGUUGUUGAUGAAAGUGAUAUAACUCUUGGCUAACAAUUCAUAACAUUUCUAUUCAAGGUACUUAGAGAUUUGUUUCAAAAAUAUCACAAAACCAUAGUAUCAUUUACUCCUCAUUAGCAAGAAAUUCCCACCAAAAGCCAUACACUUAGAUAUUCAAGUAACCAUUUUAUGAAAUGCAACCUGCUUUUGUAAUGAGUUUUGUCAAAACCUUGUUGACCCUAGUGAGAGUUGUAUCAUAGUCACAAGAUCAAGAUCACGUACACACCACAUAUAUAUAUGCUGCUUCUACACUGGAAGUACGCAACCACAUGUAUUGUGCAUCCACUAAAUAGGUUGCUCCAUACUCUAAGUGUUAGAACACCUCUCUAAAUAUUGUUUAGAAAAUGAGACAUAAAAGGCUUGGCAAAAUAAAAAAAAAAUUUGAGCACAUAAAGCUCGAAGAAAAAAGAAAAUCUAGCCAUGUCUCAAUAUACAAGUAGAGAGAGUGUAGCAAAUAAAGGAGCAACCUAGUCCACCAUAUAACACACUUGCACAUCUUGAUCUAUGACUAUGACACUCCUCUCUUUGGAUCCUUGUUUUUGACUUAACAAUAUUUGCAAAGUAGAGUAUGCUACCUUGUUUAUCCCUACCAAGCCCCAUAUAAGCCUAUAGUUAUAGGAUGAAACAAGUUGGCAUUCAUGCCUUGGUGAGGACUACUAAAAAAAAACUUUGAGUGAUCUAGAGCGCUAAAUGAGGAGUAGGAUUGAACUAUGUGACUUAUUUUAAAAAGUGUCAUAAAAACUCUAAGUACCAAGAAUAUGAAAUUGGAAUUUGAUCUUGUUCUGAGAGUUGUUCCUUUUCUCAACCUCUGAAGGAUAUAUGCUAGACACUUACACAAAAACCCAUUUGGAUGAACUAUGUUCGAACUAGCAUUUUAUGCUCACUACUAUCUUAAGUUAGAAACCAUUGAUCACUCAUUUUUAACCUUUACUCGAGGACGAGCAAAGACUCAAGUGUGGGGGGUCUUGUUGACGGUAUUUAUACCAUGUUUUCUACUAUCAUAACCGUCAACAUAAGACUCAUUUUGGGAUAAAACAACCAAACAAAGUAGUAAUAUAGGUACAUAUAACCUAGUUCCACAUGUACAUGCUACUAUUUGGUUGCAGGAGUAAGAACAGGUACUUUUCAAGGGUCCAAAC